ACGAACGCUGGCGGCGCGCUUAACCCCUGCAAGUCGAACGGAAAGGCCUGCUUUCCCUUGUGGAUUGCGGGUACUCGAGUGGCGAACGGGUGAGUAACACGUGAGUGAUCUGCCCCCAACUUGGGUAUAAGCCUGGGAAACUGGGUCUAAUUCCCGAUAGGACUGCAGGGUGGUGCCUGUGGUGGAAAACGAUUUUCUAGUGGUUGGGGAUGAGCUCGCGGCCUAUCAGCUUGUUGGUGGGGUAAUGGCCUACCAAGGCGGCGACGGGUAGCCGGCCUGAGAGGGUGGACGGCCACAUUGGGACUGAGAUACGGCCCAGACUCCUACGGGAGGCAGCAGUGGGGAAUAUUGCACAAUGGGCGGAAGCCUGAUGCAGCGACGCCGCGUGGGGGAUGACGGCCUUCGGGUUGUAAACUCCUUUCGACCGCGAGGAAGCCACCUGGUUGGAAGGGUGGUGACGGUAGUGGUAGAAGAAGCACCGGCUAACUACGUG
rnacentral:rRNA from 1 species